rnacentral:lncRNA from 1 species
GGGAAGCGUUUUUUGAAACGUUUGAUCGAACCUUACUUCAGAGGUUGCCUACAUAUCCUUGGCUAUAAAAGAAUCAGGUUAGUGUAGUUCUGGAAGUUUAGAUAGCUGGAACUACCGAGAAGCUGUGAUUUCACUGUUAUUGUUGUUGUUUACUGCUUGCUGAGCUCCUUAUUACACCAAAGUCAAAAUGAAAAAGACUAACUAAGCCUAUUAGCUACGAGUUACAAGAUUCCUAUCUAUGAGUCUUUUGAAGCUUGAUCUUGAGUUUUGGCUGGUUCUUCCUGCAGACUCUGAUCUGAACCUUGAUGCUUGCUAGCUGCAGGUGCUAGUUCAUUCUUCUUCGGCUUUUCAGAUCAAGAUGCGACAUGCAAAGCUUGCGACUUCAAUCAUGUCUUGGUCAUCCUGGACUGUCGACUUGCAUUCUUGAGGUGAGCUUCUGUACUUCUAACUUGAAUUGAAUUCUGAAAUAACUUCCCUCAUUCUUCAGGUGGGCACCUGCAACUGACUUGAAAUUUGAACUGAAUUCCCUCGUUCUCCAGGUGCCUGCUAAUGACUUGAAAAUUGAAACAAAUUCCCACAUUCUCCAAGUGGGUGCCUGCCGCUAACUUAAAACUUGAAAUAAAUUUCCUCAUUCUCCAGGUGGGCGCCUGAUGACUUAAAACUUGAAAUAAAUUCCCUCAUUCUCCAGGUGGGCGCCUGCUGACUUUAAAAUCUUGAAAUGAAUUCCCUCGUUUUCCAGAUGGGUGCCUGAUGUUGACUUAACACUUGAAAUGAAUUCCCUCAUUCUCCAGGUGGGCGCCUGAUGUUGACUUAAAACUUGAAAUAAAUUCCCUCGUUCUCUAGGUGGGCGCCUGAUGACUUAAAACUUGAAAUAAAUUCCCUCAUUCUCUAGGUGGGCACAUGCUGACUUAAAAACUUGAAAUAAAUUCCCUCGUUUUUCAGGUGGGUGCCUGAUGUUGACUUACACUUGAAAUGAAUUCCCACAUUCUCCAGGUGGGUGCCUGAUGCUACAACAAAAUAGACAAAACAAAAGAAACUUUUCUGCCCCAGUUUGUACUAGGAAGAUUUGUGAGUUGUUAGCAGAACUAUAAAUCACCUAUGUUAUUGAUGAAUGAUGCAAUGAUGAGAGUAAAAUUAAAGACUCGACUAGGAUGUGCGUCUCCUAAAGAAAUAAAAAUCUGAAAAACCUAAACUAGAAAGUGCGUCUCCUAAAUUUUAGAUUGAGCUUGCGGAAAACUAUAAACUAAGCUUGACUAAACUAAAAACUGACCCUAUUCUCCAGGCGGGACCCCUGAUUUCAAGAAAACUAAAGAUUGAUAAUUUAAGAAAACUGAAAAUUGACCCUUUCUUUUUAAAAAAAGAAAAAGAAAAAAAAAUCCAGACUUCCCUUUUUUUAAACUUAUUAUCGUAGCAGAAAAUUCAUUAGAUUAGGUUUUAAUCUUAGGAGAAAGAUUCAUCAGACUAAGAUUUUGAUCCUAGGAAAAAAAUUCAUCAGACUAGGUCUCUUUUUUUUUUUUUUGGUAUCUUUGGAGAAAGAUU